AACGCACAUUGCGCCCGCCAGCAUUCUGGCGGGCAUGCCUGUCCGAGCGUCAUUUCAACCCUCAGGGAACCCCUUCGGGGGGGACCUGGUGUUGGGGGCCGGCCGCCCGCGCCGCCCCCGAAAUGCAGUGGCGACCUCGCCGCAGCCUCCCCUGCGUAGUAGCACAACCUCGCACCGGAGCGCGGAGACGGUCACGCCGUAAAACGCCCAACUUUCAAGAGUUGACCUCGGAUCAGGUAGGAAUACCCGCUGAACUUAA
rnacentral:misc_RNA from 1 species